rnacentral:rRNA from 1 species
AUGAAUCUUGAUAAUAAGUGUCAGCAACAACAGCUAUCAGGCUCAAGUUCUGCAAGGCCGCGGACAUUUUGGACCAGCUGUCCAACUUGUGGCACCAAAUAUCAGUAUUACCAUUCAAUUUUGAAGAGAGCUGUCCACUGCCAGAAUUGCUCGAAGGCCUUUAUAGCACAUGCUUUAACUGAGCAACCUGUUCCUUUUGGUCCAGAUCAACAGUUUGCUGAGGUGUGGAUAAGUGCAGGAGUAUUUUCAGAAAUUAGAUUGCUUCAGAAGUUCGAACCUGGGCAGAUCUGGGCUCUCUACAGUGACAUAGAUAAGUUUCCCAAUUGCUAUGCCUUCAUAGAGAAAGUUGAUCUCGAGAAUAAUGAGGUACAUGCAAAAUGGCUUGAACUUUGUCCUGAUGGAGAGAUGGAGGAAAGAUUGGUAAUAGAUCGAACGGUUGGGUGUGGAACCUAUAGGGUUUCCACCACCCAUGGUAUUAUGAUUUACACCGACACGAAACCUUUUUCUCAUCCUGUACAUGCGAUAUUCACUGGUAGAAGGAACUCUUAUGAAAUAUAUCCUAGGAAAGGUGAAGUCUGGGCCCUUCUCAGGGGAUGGGAUAUUGGUUGGAGUCCAGAUGCUCACAACCAAAAGAACUACAAGUAUGAAGUUGUUCAGGUCCUCUCUGAUUUCACAACUGGCACUAGCAUCAUUGUGAUGCCACUUGUCAAGAUAAAAGUCUUUGUUAGCUUAUUUAUGCAGUCUGAAGUGGCUACUCCAUACCUGAUACCUCAGGAUGACACAAUAUGGUUUUCACAUUAUAUCCCCUACCGUUUGAUGGGUGCAACUGAAAGCAAAGGCAUUCAGGAAGGAGCUCUUGAACUUGAUCCUGCAGCGCUUCCCGUUAAUUUGGAACAGCCUCUCACAUGUCUCGUUUCAGAAAGCAUGUCAGUAAGAGGCUCGGAGUUUGAUGCCAAAUAUGCUGGUUCGUCUGGAGGAAAUAAAUCUCACAAGGAAUCCAAAGGGGCUGGGGAGAGACAGCAUGGUACAUGCAUGAAUGGAGGGAUCUUUGCAAAGGCACCAGUGGUAGAGAAUGGGGAGCAUUACACUCCCUCUGCUGUAGAAGGUACGGAUGUUGAUGAAGAAUCUGAUGAUGCUGGAGUAGAAGUAUUAUGUACUGAUUUUUUUAACUUCGACCAACUUCGAGAUGUAAGUCAGUUUAGACCCAACCAGAUCUGGGCUGUCUAUGAUACUCAAAGCUUUAUGCCAAGAUUUUAUGCUCGGAUUACAAAGGUACAAAUGACCCCAAAGUUUAAAGUACACUUUGUUUGGCUGGAAUUUGAUCCCACAAAUAAAGCAGAAGUGACAUGGUCACGUGGGGAACUGCCUAUUGCGUGUGGAUGUUUUAAUCAUGGAGCGUCAGACACAGCUAAAGAAACUAAUAUGUUCUCCCAGAUUAUUUCCUGUGUGAAAAGAAAAACAGGAAACUUGUAUGAGAUAUAUCCUAGGAAAGGUGAAGUUUGGGCCCUUUUCAAGGGAUGGGACAUUGGUUGGAGUUCGGAUGCUGACAAGCACACAGAUUUUGAGUAUGAAAUUGUUCAAGUUGUUUCUGAUUUCACGACAAGCACUAGCAUCAUUGUCAUGCUGCUUGUAAAAAUAGAAGGCUUUGUUAGCUUAUUUAAGCAAUCGAAAGAAGCAACUCCGUUAGUGAUACCUCAGGAUCACACGCUCAUGUUUUCACAUUGUGUCCCUCAUCAUUCAGUGAGGGGAACUGAAAGAGAAGGUAUUCCAGAAGGAGCUCUUGAACUUGAUCCUGCCGCGCUUCCCCCUAACAUGAAGAGGCUUUUGCUUCUGUUGUUCCAGAAAGCAGAUCAGUGGAAGAUAGCAUUACACCGCUUGCAGACAAAUGUCUGCUGCAGGAGAUUCUAUCUGACUCGCCUGCCAUGGCAGUAA